rnacentral:tmRNA from 1 species
GGGGAUAAUUGGUUUUGACAGCAGGCAGGAUGGGUAGGUAAGCAUGCCGUGCACGGACACCGCACGUAAAUCGGGUCUAAACAAUUUAACUGGCAACAACAACUAUGCUCUCGCUGCCUAACCGAAGUACAGUAGGUUAGCCUUAUUUCCCCACAAGGUGGGGAAUCGAGACAUCGCUCCAAGCCCGGCUUCGCGGCUGAAUGGGUAACGGGGUCCCCGAGAAAUCUUUGAUUUAUGGGGUGUCCUAUAGCGGUGCAGAAAUUGCGAAGAUAGCCUCAAUGGCGCUGCGACAGCGAGGUGAAACAAUAGCAGAUAAGCCGUUGGUUGGUGGUUCGGGUCUUGCCAACGGACGAAAAUGAAGGCCGAAAUAAGCAUGUAGAAAGCGUAUUUGUUCCCUGUUUGGACGCGGGUUCGACUCCCGCUAUCUCCAC